AUUUCGAACAGUUGUGGGCUGGUUUAAGGGGAUUUUCCAGGGAUUUUGGAAAUAAAUGGCUGCGCGAUAAUUACUUUCAUUAAAAUAGCAUCAGGUCAUCCCAAAGGAGGAAGGCCCAAAAAGAAAACAGCCAAAUGAGAGAGACAUUUAUAUUAAUGUCUAAAUUACAAAGCCAAAAGUAACAGCCCGAAUUUUGAAAAUUUCCCCUACUUUUGCCCAGAUUUUGUCGGGAAGUUGUGGGCGCAAAGUGCAGAGGGAGAGAAAAUACUGAUAAAUGAGCAAGGUAAAUGUGGAAAUAAUGACUCCAGCCCUGAGUGCACCUAUAUGGCACUGAUUUAGUCGAAGCAGAGAUAUAUGUCGGGAAGAGUAUGAAGUUCUACCAAGCCGCCACUCUGAUUGAUGGACAGACAUUAGGCCAGCGGUUGUGGGCAAGUGUGGGGAGGGGUCGGAAAGUGUUAAAAAAUGUGCUGCCUCUGGGUCCCGCAAUUAAAUGGAGUCUUCACAAUUCUCCAGCGCUCGCCAUGUUCGGAGUCCACAGCAUCCAGUCUGCGAGUUCCCGAAGAUAAGUGCUGGAGAUAAGUCCGCAUAGACGUCGGAAUGUCUGAGUCGCACGGAGAACGAAGGUCUCCCAGAUCGGGAUCUCUCACAUUUGUGCGCCGCUAAUUUCGGAUUUUAUUAAACGGUCAUCGCAGCGCAUAUAAGGAAGGGGCACGAAGUUUGGCUGAAAUGCAAAUGAGACGAAAUGAGAUGAAAUGAAGCGUAACCAGGCAAGAAGCACUUGUGAAACUAAGAGCUGCAAGAGCUUCUCGAAUGGACCUUAUCGGUAAUGCAAAAUUGAGAAGAAUUGCUAAUAAUAAACUGCCAUGCGCUUCCUUAGUGCUAUGCUUUCAAAUCAGCUGUCCCACCUGCUGGAAGCUCCGGCAGCGGAAGCCGUAGGCAAACGUCAACAGUUGAACAUUACCAAGGCGUGUCUCCAAAUCCGACAUAAAAAACCUCUUUCUUAUGCUUUGCGGCUAAUUAAACA